rnacentral:rRNA from 1 species
AGGUUAAGUAAUUAAGGGCGCACGGUGGAUGCCUUGGCACUAGGAGCCGAAGAAGGACGUGACUAACGACGAUAUGCCCCGGGGAGCUGUAAGUAAGCAAUGAUCCGAGGAUUUCCGAAUGGGGGAACCCACGAUAUUUUGAGUAUCGUACUUUUAAGUGAAUACAUAGCUUAAAAGAGGAAGACACAGUGAACUGAAACAUCUAAGUAGCUGUAGGAAGAGAAAGCAAACGCGAUUCCCUAAGUAGCGGCGAGCGAAACGGGAAGAGGCCAAACCACAGAGCUUGCUUUGUGGGGUUGUAGGACUCAGCUGUGGUACUAAUAUUGAUAGAAGAAUUAACUGGAAAGUUAAACCAAAGAGAGUAAAAGUCUCGUAUUCGAAAUUGAUUGACGACCUAUGAGUAUCCUGAGUACGGCGGAACACGAGGAAUUCCGUCGGAAUCCGGGAGGACCAUCUCCCAAGCCUAAAUACUCCCUAGUGACCGAUAGUGAACCAGUACCGUGAGGGAAAGGUGAAAAGCACCCCGGAAGGGGAGUGAAAUAGAACCUGAAACCGUGUGCUUACAACAAGUUCGAGCCCGUUAAUGGGUGAGAGCGUGCCUUUUGUAGAAUGAACCGGCGAGUUACGAUAUGUUGCGAGGUUAAAUUGCAGAAAUGGAGCCGUAGGGAAACCGAGUCUGAAUAGGGCGCCAUAGUAACAUGUCGUAGACCCGAAACCAUGUGACCUACCCAUGUCCAGGUUGAAGGUGCGGUAAAACGCACUGGAGGACCGAACCCACGUACGUUGAAAAGUGCGGGGAUGAGGUGUGGGUAGCGGAGAAAUUCCAAACGAACUUGGAGAUAGCUGGUUCUCUCCGAAAUAGCUUUAGGGCUAGCGUCGAGUGAUGAAUUAUGGAGGUAGAGCACUGUUUGGGUGAGGGGUCCGUCUUGGAUUACCAAUCUCAGAUAAACUCCGAAUGCCAUUAAUUUUAGCUCGGCAGUCAGACAGUGAGUGAUAAGAUCCAUUGUCGAAAGGGAAACAGCCCAGACCACCAGUUAAGGUCCCCAAAUCUAUGUUAAGUGGAAAAGGAUGUGGGGGUGCACAAACAACUAGGAUGUUGGCUCAGAAGCAGCCACCAUUUAAAGAGUGCGUAAUAGCUCACUAGUCGAGUGCCCCUGCGCCGAAAAUUUACCGGGGCUAAACAUAGUACCGAAACUGUGGAUUACAGUAAUGUAAUGGUAGGAGAGCGUUCUAAUUGCGCUGAAGGUAUACCGUGAGGAGUGCUGGAGCGAUUAGAAGUGAGAAUGCCGGUAUGAGUAGCGAAAGACAGGUGAGAAUCCUGUCCACCGUAAGACUAAGGUUUCCAGGGGAAGGCUCGUCCGCCCUGGGUUAGUCGGGACCUAAGCUGAGGCCGAAAGGCGUAGGCGAUGGCCAACAGGUUGAUAUUCCUGUACUAGGUAAUAUUGUUUGAGCAAUGGAGGGACGCAGUAGGCUAAUCGAUCAUCCUGAUGGAUGGAUGUCCAAGCAUUAAGUUUUGAAAAGAGUCAAAUGCUUUUUUCUAUAAGAACAAGAUGUUAUGGGGAGCGAAAUUAUAGUAGCGAAGUUGAUGAUGUCACACUGCCAAGAAAAUCUUCUAGUUAGAUAUUACUUACCCGUACCGCAAACCGACACAGGUAGUCGAGGCGAGUAGCCUCAGGUGAGCGAGCGAACUCUCGUUAAGGAACUCGGCAAAAUGACCCCGUAACUUCGGGAGAAGGGGUGCUGAACUUCGGUUCAGCCGCAGUGAAUAGGCCCAAGCGACUGUUUAUCAAAAACACAGGUCUCUGCUAAAUCGUAAGAUGAUGUAUAGGGGCUGACGCCUGCCCGGUGCUGGAAGGUUAAGAGGAUUGCUUAGAUUCGUCGAAGGUAAGAAUUGAAGCCCCAGUAAACGGCGGCCGUAACUAUAACGGUCCUAAGGUAGCGAAAUUCCUUGUCGGGUAAGUUCCGACCCGCACGAAAGGCGUAACGAUUUGGGCACUGUCUCAACGAGAGACUCGGUGAAAUUUUAGUACCUGUGAAGAUGCAGGUUACCCGCGACAGGACGGAAAGACCCCAUGGAGCUUUACUGUAGUUUGAUAUUGAGUGUUUGUACCACAUGUACAGGAUAGGUAGGAGCCUAUGAUUUAGGGACGCUAGUUUCUAAUGAGGCGCUGUUGGGAUACUACCCUUGUGUUAUGACCACUCUAACCCGCUACGCUAAUCGCGUAGGGAGACAUUGUCAGAUGGGCAGUUUGACUGGGGCGGUCGCCUCCUAAAGAGUAACGGAGGCGCCCAAAGGUUCCCUCAGAAUGGUUGGAAAUCAUUCGAAGAGUGCAAAGGCAGAAGGGAGCUUGACUGCGAGAGCUACAACUCGAGCAGGGACGAAAGUCGGGCUUAGUGAUCCGGUGGUACCGCAUGGAAGGGCCAUCGCUCAACGGAUAAAAGCUACCCUGGGGAUAACAGGCUUAUCUCCCCCAAGAGUCCACAUCGACGGGGAGGUUUGGCACCUCGAUGUCGGCUCGUCGCAUCCUGGGGCUGUAGUCGGUCCCAAGGGUUGGGCUGUUCGCCCAUUAAAGCGGCACGCGAGCUGGGUUCAGAACGUCGUGAGACAGUUCGGUCCCUAUCCGUCGCGGGCGUAGGAAAUUUGAGAGGAUCUGACCUUAGUACGAGAGGACCGGGUUGGACUUACCGCUGGUGUACCAGUUGUCUCGCCAGAGGCAUCGCUGGGUAGCUAUGUAGGGCAGGGAUAAACGCUGAAAGCAUCUAAGUGUGAAGCCCCCCUCAAGAUGAGAUUUCCCAUUCUUUAAGAAUUAAGAGCCCUCAGAGAAGAUGAGGUAGAUAGGUUGGAAGUGUAAGUGAAGUGAUUCAUUGAGCGGACCAAUACUAAUCGCUCGAGGACUUAACCAAUUU